rnacentral:rRNA from 1 species
AACGAACGCUGGCGGCAGGCUUAACACAUGCAAGUCGAACGCCCCGCAAGGGGAGUGGCAGACGGGUGAGUAACGCGUGGGAAUCUACCCAUCUCUACGGAAUAACUCAGGGAAACUUGUGCUAAUACCGUAUACGCCCUUCGGGGGCAAGAUUUAUCGGAGAUGGAUGAGCCCGCGUUGGAUUAGCUAGUUGGUGGGGUAAAGGCCUACCAAGGCGACGAUCCAUAGCUGGUCUGAGAGGAUGAUCAGCCACAUUGGGACUGAGACACGGCCCAAACUCCUACGGGAGGCAGCAGUGGGGAAUAUUGGACAAUGGGCGCAAGCCUGAUCCAGCCAUGCCGCGUGAGUGAUGAAGGCCCUAGGGUUGUAAAGCUCUUUCACCGAUGAAGAUAAUGACUGUAGUCGGAGAAGAAGCCCCGGCUAACUUCGUGCCAGCAGCCGCGGUAACAC